rnacentral:rRNA from 1 species
GAUGAACGCUGGCGGCGUGCCUAAUACAUGCAAGUCGAGCGAACAGACGAGGAGCUUGCUCCUCUGACGUUAGCGGCGGACGGGUGAGUAACACGUGGAUAACCUACCUAUAAGACUGGGAUAACUUCGGGAAACCGGAGCUAAUACCGGAUAAUAUAUUGAACCGCAUGGUUCAAUAGUGAAAGACGGUUUUGCUGUCACUUAUAGAUGGAUCCGCGCCGCAUUAACUAGUUGGUAAGGUAACGGCUUACCAAGGCAACGAUGCGUAGCCGACCUGAGAGGGUGAUCGGCCACACUGGAACUGAGACACGGUCCAGACUCCUACGGGAGGCAGCAGUAGGGAAUCUUCCGCAAUGGGCGAAAGCCUGACGGAGCAACGCCGCGUGAGUGAUGAAGGUCUUCGGAUCGUAAAACUCUGUUAUUAAGGAAGAACAAAUGUGUAAGUAACUAUGCACGUCUUGACGGUACCUAAUCAGAAAGCCACGGCUAACUACGUG